UAAGGACCCAUGACCUUAGGAAGGGGUUUUCUAAAAAUCAGAAUUCCUUCAUUUUGCCAGCUUUCUUUCUCUCUCUAAAACCCUUGCCCUAAAAUUCUCUCUGCCUUCUCUCUAGAUUUUCUCUUCACUGAACCGAUCAAAUUUUGAUUUGAAGGUGUUUCCGCGCUCGCUGCACCAAGGGCUUCAGUUUGAACCGAACGUUUUUCCAUUCCGACCGGUGCUGUCAAACUCGCCUCUGUGAGGAGGUACUGCUAGAGCGUUCCUAGGAGUGGUACUGUUAAGCUUUCCAGAGGAAGAUGAGGUUUCUUUGGAGGCAACAUUGGAGAGAAAUGAAGAUGAUGUUGCAGCUUAGACUCACUAGGAAUUCUUAGUUCUCUUAUGUCA